rnacentral:rRNA from 1 species
UACGGAAGGCAGCAGUAGGGAAUCUUCCGCAAUGGACGAAAGUCUGACGGAGCAACGCCGCGUGAACGAUGAAGGCUUUCGGGUCGUAAAGUUCUGUUGUUAGGGAGAACAAGUACCGGAGUAACUGCCGGUACCUUGACGGUACCUAACCAGAAAGCCACGGCUAACUACGUGCCAGCAGCCGCGGUAAUACGUAGGUGGCAAGCGUUGUCCGGAAUUAUUGGGCGUAAAGCGCGCGCAGACGGUCCUUUAAGUCUGAUGUGAAAGCCCACGGCUCAACCGUGGAGGGUCAUUGGAAACUGGGGGACUUGAGUGCAGAAGAGGAGAGUGGAAUUCCACGUGUAGCGGUGAAAUGCGUAGAGAUGUGGAGGAACACCAGUGGCGAAGGCGACUCUCUGGUCUGUAACUGACGCUGAGGGCGCGAAAGCGUGGGGAGCGAACAGGGAUUAGAUACC